GCCCAGACUCCUACGGGAGGCAGCAGUGAGGAAUAUUGGUCAAUGGUCGGGAGACUGAACCAGCCAAGCCGCGUGAGGGAUGAAGGUACAGAGUAUCGUAAACCUCUUUUGUCAGGGAACAAAGGCGGGGACGUGUCCCCGGAUGAGUGUACCUGAAGAAAAAGCAUCGGCUAACUCCGUGCCAGCAGCCGCGGUAAUACGGAGGAUGCGAGCGUUAUCCGGAUUUAUUGGGUUUAAAGGGUGCGCAGGCGGUCUGUUAAGUCAGCGGUCAAAGCCCGGGGCUCAACCCCAUCCGGCCGUUGAAACUGGGGAUCUAGAGUGUGCGAGAAGUAUGCGGAAUGCGUGGUGUAGCGGUGAAAUGCAUAGAUAUCACGCAGAACUCCGAUUGCGAAGGCAGCAUACCGGCGCCCAACUGACGCUGAAGCACGAAAGCGUGGGUAUCGAACAGGAUUAGAUACCCGGGUA
rnacentral:rRNA from 1 species